rnacentral:lncRNA from 1 species
UGUUUUUUCUCCUAUAUCCCUGCAGAUUGUUCAGGGACAUUUCAUUGACACUAAAUGGAGAAGUCCAUUACGUUCGAUUGUAUUAGUCUCUGUGUACAAUGUUUUCCUGGUUCUGCUCCUUUCGCUCUGCAUCACUUCCUGGAGGUUGUUCCAGUCUCCAUGGAAUUCCUCACUUUAUUAUUCCUUUGAGCACAAUAGUAUUCCAUCACCAACAUAUACCACAAUUGUUCAGCCAUUCCCCAAUUGAUGGGCAUCCCCUCAUUUUCCAAUUUUUGGCCACCACAAAGAGCACAGCUAUGAAUAUUCUUGUACAAGUCUUUUUGUCCAUUAUCUCUUUGGGGUACAAGCCCAGCAGUGCUAUGGCUGGAUCAAAGGGCAGACAGUCUUUUAUCAC